rnacentral:rRNA from 1 species
AGAGUUUGAUCCUGGCUCAGGAUGAACGCUAGCGGCAGGCCUAACACAUGCAAGUCGAGGGGCAUCGGGAUUGAAGCUUGCUUCAAUUGCCGGCGACCGGCGCACGGGUGCGUAACGCGUAUGUAACCUACCUAUAACAGGGGCAUAACACUGAGAAAUUGGUACUAAUUCCCCAUAAUAUUCGGAGAGGCAUCUCUCCGGGUUGAAAACUCCGGUGGUUAUAGAUGGACAUGCGUUGUAUUAGCUAGUUGGUGAGGUAACGGCUCACCAAGGCAACGAUACAUAGGGGGACUGAGAGGUUAACCCCCCACACUGGUACUGAGACACGGACCAGACUCCUACGGGAGACAGCAGUGAGGAAUAUUGGUCAAUGGACGCAAGUCUGAACCAGCCAUGCCGCGUGCAGGAAGACGGCUCUAUGAGUUGUAAACUGCUUUUGUACGAGGGUAAACUCACCUACGUGUAGGUGACUGAAAGUAUCGUACGAAUAAGAUCGGCUAACUCCGUGCCAGCAGCCGCGGU